AGUAACGAAGGAAUUCUAAUUAUGAUACUGUAUUUCCAGAUCAAGAUAAAGGUUAUGAGGAAAACUGAAUGGCGAAAGAAGUACUCAGCCAACUAAUUUACUAAGAAAGCAAAAUAAGAAGAUCUUUUAUAGCAAAUGAUAACAAUAAAGAUCCUCCUGGAUUAUAUUCUCUAUAAAGCCGAUUUCCACAAAUGCUGUUUCUGUAUUUUCGAAAUGUUUUGACAGCUCAGAACACCAACAUUCCCACAUUAUUCAGAGCAGGUAAAGGGAUCGUCAGGAGAGCUUAAAGGUGCAGCCCAGCCCAAUCUGAAAGAAGAAAUAUCAAGAGUGAAAAUGCAAAAGAGUUUUCAUUAUUAUUCAAAUUCUGAUGUCACUUGUUGAAAUUAUCAUUGUGAUGUUAUCUUCUUAUCUGCACCACGCAUUUUAUGGCAGUGUACAUGUUUUCUGAAUACACCAAUAUGUUACUAUGUGGGUGAACAUAUUCUUCCCACUCAUCCAAUAAGUAUUUUUAAAAAAGCAAUAUAUGAUUUAAAUUAUGUUCAUUGAAUAUUUUUGCAUUUUAGCUUUUGCCUUACUUUAAUUCUGUAAGACAGUAUUCCUCUUCAUCCCAGAAAUACCCUUCUUACAGGAACUUUCUUAUUUCUUGAUAAGAUUUUGUUCCUAUUUGAAAAGAAAACAUUUUUUUCAAUUCCAAUGACCUGAAAAUUCCACAGCUCAUUUCAAAUGAAAAUACCAGCACAGAGCACUCUAGCAUGUCUAUGGACAAAUAACAGGGUAAAAUUUACUUAUCUUUUAGUUCUGUAUCAUUUGUGGUUUAGCCAUGUACACUACUCUUUGAGUUAAAUGUUACAGAGAGAAGAAGAGGAUUCACCAACAUGGACUCUCCUUACCCCAUCUUCCACCUUUUUUGUUAGACAACAGGUCUGUUGCAGGCACAUCCACAAAGCUGAAACAACCCAGGUUUUGUGCAGCCAUUCAGUUGAGUGUUACCAUCUCCACACACAUUCUUAAAUAUUCAUUCAGCCAGUUUACGGAAGCUGAUGACACUUAAAAAAAUUUUGGUCACUGUUGUUUUCUUGGCAAAUAAUUUACAAAUCUAUAGGAACAAGAGUGCUUGCUUGAACUGGCAUAUCAAAAUUUUAAGAAGCUGAAUGCCUUGAGCUCAGAGACAGCAUCUGUUUGCAAUAAAAAGAAGGUGCGAGGCAAAAUCAGUUCAUGUCUAUCGCAUCAUGCAAAACCUAAGAAUUAAGCCCAAGGACCCGACCCCUGAAGUAAUUCAGAAAGAAAGGCUUAUCAGUUGGAGAACCAAAAAACUUUUUCCUGUGUGACCAACCAAGUGCUCAGUUAAUACCUGCAUUAGGUAUUACUUCGUGUUCUUCCAGCACUUGCCCAGCUACGGUAACAUCUAAGGGUAUCUAUCUGCGCUAAUGUCUAGGAAGAAAUCCUUUCACAUACAUACUUGCACAGAUGAAAUCUUAAAAAAACCCCUGUGGCUUGCAGGAGAACAAGCAAGGGAACUGCUAUGCUUUUAUCACUUAACUUGAAGGCUCCAGAAAGAACCCUUUCCUACUUGGACACCAGUUGUGUCAGUGACA